GGGGAAAGAACCAACUGGGAUUUGCCUCAGUAACGGCGAGUGAAGCGGCAAUAGCUCAAAUUUGAAAUCUGGCUCUUUCAGAGUCCGAGUUGUAAUUUGUAGAGGAUGCUUCGGCUUACGCCCCGGUCUAAGUUCCUUGGAACAGGACGUCACAGAGGGUGAGAAUCCCGUACGUGGCCGGCGGCCUCCGCCAUGUGAAGCUCCUUCGACGAGUCGAGUUGUUUGGGAAUGCAGCUCUAAAUGGGAGGUAAAUUUCUUCUAAAGCUAAAUACUGGCCAGAGACCGAUAGCGCACAAGUAGAGUGAUCGAAAGAUGAAAAGCACUUUGGAAAGAGAGUUAAAAAGUACGUGAAAUUGUUGAAAGGGAAGCGCUUGCAACCAGACUUGCCCGCGGUUGUUCAGCCGGUCCUUCGGCCGGUGCACUCUUCCGCGGUCAGGCCAGCAUCAGUUUAGGCGGUCGGAUAAAGGCUCUAGGAAUGUAGCUCUCUUCGGGGAGUGUUAUAGCCUGGGGCGCAAUACGGCCCGCCUGGACUGAGGUCCGCGCUUCGGCUAGGAUGCUGGCGUAAUGGUUGUAAGCGGCCCGUCUUGAAACACGGACCAAGGAGUCUAACAUCUAUGCGAGUGUUUGGGUGUCAAACCCGUGCGCGUAAUGAAAGUGAACGGAGGUGGGAACCUUAGGGUGCACCAUCGACCGAUCCUGAUGUCUUCGGAUGGAUUUGAGUAAGAGCAUAGCUGUUGGGACCCGAAAGAUGGUGAACUAUGCCUGAAUAGGGUGAAGCCAGAGGAAACUCUGGUGGAGGCUCGCAGCGGUUCUGACGUGCAAAUCGAUCGUCAAAUUUGGGUAUAGGGGCGAAAGACUAAUCGAACCAUCAGCAGCGCUAGGUGGUCAAGAGGC
rnacentral:rRNA from 1 species